UCCGUGCCAGCAGCCGCGGUAAUACGGAGGUGGCAAGCGUUGCCCGGAAUCACUGGGCGUAAAGGGGGCGUAGGCGGCCGGACAAGUCGGACGUGAAAGCCCGAAGCUCAACUUCCAGAAUGGCGUCCGAUACUGUUCGGCUUGAGGUCCGGAGAGGCCGGCGGAAUUCCCGGUGUAGGGGUGAAAUCCGUAGAUAUCGGGAGGAACACCGGUGGCGAAGGCGGCCGGCUGGACGGCACCUGACGCUGAGGCCCGAAAGCGUGGGGAGCAAACCGGAUUAGAUACCCGGGUAGUCCACGCCGUAAACGAUGGGUGCUAGGUGUGGGGGGUUAAUCCCUCCGUGCCGAAGCUAACGCAUUAAGCACCCCGCCUGGGGAGUACGGCCGCAAGGCUGAAACUCAAAGGAAUUGACGGGGGCCCGCACAAGCGGUGGAGCACGUGGUUUAAUUCGAUGCAAAGCGAAGAACCUUACCUGGGUUUGACAUGCUAGGGAAUCCCCCAGAGAUGGGGGAGUGCCCGGGUUUUACUCGGGAGCCCUAGCACAGGUGCUGCAUGGCUGUCGUCAGCUCGUGUCGUGAGAUGUUGGGUUAAGUCCCGCAACGAGCGCAACCCUCGCCCUUAGUUGCCAGCGGUUCGGCCGGGCACUCUAAGGGGACUGCCGGGGACAACCCGGAGGAAGGAGGGGAUGACGUCAAGUCCUCAUGGCCCUUAUGCCCAGGGCUACACACGUGCUACAAUGGGCGGUACAGAGGGUUGCGAACCCGCAAGGGGGAGCUAAUCCCAGAAAGCCGUCCUCAGUUCGGAUCGGGGUCUGCAACUCGACCCCGUGAAGCCGGAAUCGCUAGUAACGGCGGAUCAGCAUGCCGCCGUGAAUACGUUCCCGGGCCUUGCACACACCGCCCGUC
rnacentral:rRNA from 1 species